CGUCCACCACAGGUGUCUUGCACUCUACCUCUGCCAUGGCCAGUGCCUCCCGAAGACUGGAAGUCACAUACUUGCCAACCUCUUGUUUCAGCCAGAAUCCAACCAAGACCACAGAAUCCACGCCGGUUAUUUCAGAGAGAGGACACAGUGCGGGGAAGUGUUUCCACAGGUGGCAGAAAGAGUGUCUGCCCCUGUCUAAACCCACCCAAAAGCUGGAAGACAAUAGGGAAUACUAUCAGGAUAUGGAUCUGAAAGAAAACAGGCAAAUGACCAGGACAUCUUUCAAAACCUCAUCCAUGCUAAUUUACUGGAAGCUGCAUCAUGAAUUUACGUAGCGCCUUUCACGCUGGGUUACACGUUAACCAUCCCAGGCCGUCCUGCGAGCCCGGGCUGCCUUUCACGUGCAUCUGAAACUCAAAGUACAUAGAAUAGUCUCUCAAGUCCUCCUCUCUCCGAGAGCUGCCUGGCUCUUGCCCUUCUUGAGUCCUGCUUCUUCGGUGCGUCUUGGGAUUUCAGGACAUUUCCCGUUGGCUUAAGUUCACUCAAGUUCAUCCAGAAGAUCCAUAACCAGUUCAAACUACUUGCUGAGGACUUCAGCCCAGGAGGCAGCCUCUCCAAUGCUCUGAGGGACGGCUCUGAAGAGGCAAGGGAGGAACCAGGAUACAUAGGAGCUUUUGCAACCAAGACCAGCAUGCACGGCGAGAGCACCGCCCA